rnacentral:lncRNA from 1 species
GGAGUAAAUAGUUUUUGAAGGGCUGUCAAAAUCGAAGUAGACUAGGUUUUCGGAAUCAGGUUCCAAACAUAUUCCAGCAACUUAGUUAAUGUUCAAGGGUAAACAGUUUUUGCAGGACUGUCCAAACCGAUGUAAACUGGGUUCGUGGCAUCAGCAAUUACACGAACACCUAGAUACGAGACAAAACCUUCAAUACUGAAGGCAAGAC